UUUCUCACGGUGACUGGCUCGGACUCGGUCGGUGAUGCGUAUCAUCAUUCAGUCUCUGAAGGAAAACGCAUGGACAGUAGCAGCUGCAUCAAGAGGACGCGAUUUUUCAACAUUCAUGUCCAGCUUUGCUCAGCGGUGGUUUGUGAGCGUGGAGGGCUAGGUUGUCAGUGAGGGAGUGUCCUUUGUGCUGGGGCUUGCUGGUCUAAUGUCAACUUUCUACAACUUUAACCUGCAAUACCAGGACUAUGCUGCAUGGUCGUUGGAGUUCAUUCAGAGAAUCUGCAUGGGGAUUAAUCCUGAGAGAGGAUCAAAGGCAUACAGUGGACAGGCACCCAGCAGAAAAACUGGAAAGAUGGUCCAGAAGAAACCACCAACAGUGAACCUGCAUGUCUGCACCCUAAUCAGGAAGCUCAACGACUUCAAGUGGGACUUUGUUUGAUCUUCUCUCAUAGCAUUGUAUUGUUUAGGUGCAGAUACCAUUUGUCAAUUAUCAAUGAACAAUAUAUGCCGAUAAAUACUGAUCGAUUUUGUGUUGUUUAGUUUAGUUAUUGCAGCUGAUAGAGCUGUAUUAUUGUAUUGGCCAGUUUCCCUGUUUGCAGUGUAUUGGGAUCGUGACUGGCUAUAUAAUGGUGUGUGACUCCAUGGAGCUCAACAGGGACUUCUCACUUUUUUUUUUACGGUGGUUCCAGAAGUGUUUCAUUGACAUUUCAAAAAUUGCUCAUAUAUAGGUUUAACCCUGGAACUGAGCCAACCAGCUACAAGAUGAGUUACUAGUUUUGGUGAUUAUAAAACAUUUGAUUCAGCACUAAAAAACAUUUUGAAAACAAGUUACAAUACUGUGUAGAGAAACUAUCAUAGAUGUUCAAUGGUAGAGGCUCGCUCUAGCCGUUCACGGUUUUGUGGAUACGGUAAACGUGUCUAUGGUAACGAGUUGGGCCAAUCAGAGACAUUACUGUUACACUUAGGAUUGUGGGUAGUGUAAUUUCUCUCCAUAAGAUCACACAUAAAACAUGUUUUUCUUAAUGCAAGUUUGAUUUCAUACGGACCUCUUGCUUUUACAACCUUGUAGCUCGGGGUCAGUCUGCCUCGGAUGAUUUAGAUUGCUAAUG